CCGAAGAGUUCUUUUAUUUUUAUUGUUUUUGGUAUACGAUUCAAAAAAGUAAGAUAGGCAGCCUACAUUGGUCUUUUAAGUCAGUCACUUGGAACCGCAAAAACAAUUGAACUUAGUCUCGUGCCUGAGAUUGAAGAAUAGAGAAUGAGGAGGAGAGAGAAAGUCAAACCCAAUUUGGUCUUGAAGGAUCCUCUAUUUAUAGUCAACCUACACUCAAAAGAUGUAGCAGCUCGAGCAUCAUCCUUCUACCAAAGAGGACGGAAGAUUCACCAACUAAACUCUUUGACGCAUGGGAAUUUGAUGCUUCUCAUCAUCAAUUUCACCUGAGUUGCCAGUGGGUGUUCACCUGAAUGUUGCUCAUCUUCCUUCAAAAUUACAGAAAUAUAUGACUUUGUCAAGAUCCCAAUCAUAGAUAGCAAAACUGGGCAUCCAUUUCUUCUGUGCAUCCUCCGAUGGCACAGCUAAUUGUACAUAGAUGAUGAACUAACCCAACCUGGGUUUUGAGAUCCAUUACUAUUAAUAAUUUCAAACAACAAGCCAAAAUAAGACAUUUUAGGAUCCAUAGAGAUCUUACAGCGAACAUGGCACAGAGCUUAUAGCUUACUGAUUCUUGGAACAACAUAUGUAAACAAAUAGAAUGCAUAUUAGCAAUGAAGUAACGAUGAGUUUGAGUGAAAUUGAUCAUAUUACACAAAUUCAACCAAAACCUAAGCUCCUAAGUUGUGAACCAAACCAAUCCAUAAUGAUAUAGAACUAACCUCUUAGUCCUACAACAAAUUCUAGUCAAUUUCAGAACAUCCUCCUAAAGUUACCACAAAGUUAAAACAAGACGGGAGCAAGCAAUCUCCAUUGAACUCCAAGUGGUAAUAAUUAUAACCUCAAAACACAACGAGAACAAGAAGUAUCAGUAAUAGACAUUUAAAUUUCAACCGGUGCUUCUUAUUCUUACAGCACCAGAUUAUAUAACUUAAAAGAGUAUAUAAAAUAUAUACACAGUACAACAGAGAGCUAGGCUACAUGCACAAAACAUAUUCAUUCACAUUUCACAAGAAUUUCUAACCUCCAAAAUGAUUUCUUAAAACAAGUCCGGAUCCUUAAAGAGAGCACACUUACCUCUAGACAAACUUUUCAAUAGAUGCGACCAGGGUACUCUCUGGCACAGCUCCAAUAACAGCAUCUUUCUUCUCACCAUUUUUGAAGAUCAUCAUAGUUGGGAUGCUUCGAAUCCCAUAUUGAGUUGCAAUGUCAGGGCUUUCAUCAGU
rnacentral:lncRNA from 1 species